rnacentral:tRNA from 1 species
GCCUUUGUAGUGUAGUGGUCAGCACGCUCGACGCGUAAGGGUCCAUAAGGACGCUCGAGAGGUCCGUGGUUCGAUUCCCGGCGAAGGCG